rnacentral:rRNA from 1 species
ACGGAGGAUGCAAGCGUUAUCCGGAUUUAUUGGGUUUAAAGGGUGCGCAGGCGGACGAUUAAGUCAGUGGUGAAAUGUAACAGCUUAACUGUUGAACUGCCAUUGAUACUGAUUAUCUAGAAUACAGACGAAGUUGGCGGAAUGCGACAUGUAACGGUGCGAUGCUUAUGGAUGUCGCAGAACAGCGAUUGCGAAGGCAGCUAACGAGGAGGUAACUGACGAUCAUGCGCUCAAGCGUGGGGAUCAAAUAG